GUACACUCCUACGGGAGGCAGCAGUGGGGAAUUUUGGACAAUGGGCGAAAGCCUGAUCCAGCAAUGCCGCGUGCAGGAUGAAGGCCUUCGGGUUGUAAACUGCUUUUGUACGGAACGAAAAAGCUCCUUCUAAUACAGGGGGCCCAUGACGGUACCGUAAGAAUAAGCACCGGCUAACUACGUGCCAGCAGCCGCGGUAAUACGUAGGGUGCGAGCGUUAAUCGGAAUUACUGGGCGUAAAGGGUGCGCAGGCGGUUAUGUAAGACAGAUGUGAAAUCCCCGGGCUCAACCUGGGAACUGCAUUUGUGACUGCAUGGCUAGAGUACGGUAGAGGGGGAUGGAAUUCCGCGUGUAGCAGUGAAAUGCGUAGAUAUGCGGAGGAACACCGAUGGCGAAGGCAAUCCCCUGGACCUGUACUGACGCUCAUGCACGAAAGCGUGGGGAGCAAACAGGAUUAGAUACCCUUGUAGUCCCAUGA
rnacentral:rRNA from 1 species